rfam:Pichia stipitis CBS 6054 chromosome 1 PICSTchr_1.1, whole genome shotgun sequence.
UAGAUGAUGAUUCUUUUAGAUGACGAGUCAGAAUUUCGGGAUACCCGUUGAUGACAAAACUUUUUUAAUACCAUUCAUGCUUUUCUGAUU